CCCUGAAUAGCCACCAAGGGAUGCUUCAGCCCUGGGCAGUGCUUCCCUCACGUUUCAAAAAAGCCAGUAUUUUGGAAAGAUAACCUUUUUUCAAUAUCGUCCGCACAUUAUCAGAAAGCAUGGGUAAGUACCUGCAAGGAGUACUGUGGGGGCCCCUGCGAGGAGUAUCGAGGAGUACUGUGUGGACCUCUGCGAGGGGUACCGUGUGGAACCCUGCCUUCUGCAGUGAGAUCUCGGGAUGUUUGCAGGAGACUCCGCUUCAGCCAUCGCGGUGCUGUCAGAGAGGCCUCCUUGGUAGAGGUGUACAUCGGUGAGCUCCCGCAGGACUUCCUCCGCAUCACGCCCACACAGCAGCA
rnacentral:sRNA from 1 species